CAGAAAUCCUUGCAACUGCUAUUCUAUAGUAUGGUACAACUCUCAGCUUCCUGUUCUCCAGAAAUUCUCUAACUAAUCUAUUAACCUCUCUGUUCAUAUUUUUUUUCCUAUUUCAAUCCCUAAUCCUUCUCAGUGAUAUUUAAAAAAAAAAGUAUUUUAUUCUAUAUAUCAUUGAUGGGAAUAAUGUCCAUGUUGAUAUUUUUGGGUUAUUGAAUGAGAAAGGGAUAGGAGAGGAAGUAGAGAGGAAAGAAAGAGAGAAACAGAGGAGAGAUAGAGAGAGAAAUUGGUUGGCUGUUGUGAUCGUGAAGGAGGGGAUCUGAUCUUUCCUUUUCACGUUGAAUUCUCCUCUAGCUCUCAGCUUUUUGUGUGUUUCACAGAGAUACUUACACAUACACAUAUACCUUGUGAGAGAUAAAAAAAGAGAGAAAAAAGAUUGGAUGGAUAGAUCCCAUAAUAGGAGAACAAGAAAAAGGAGGAGGAGAAGAAUAAGAAGAAGAAAAGAAAGCUAACUUUUAUCAAUAACCCAAUACUUUGUUCUUGUUGAUUUUUGUUUUUGUUCUUGGAAACAAAAGAAAGAAGUUUCCCUUGGUGAUUGAUUUCCCUUCUCUACCCGCAAAGAACAAAGAAGCAGCCAAUUUGGCAAUCCAAAAUCGAUUCAUUUCACACCCUUUAUUGCGUAAUUGUAUCUAGCAGCCUCAGAAUCCAUAGCCAGAAUCAAACGGAGCUUGCUGGAUUUGUUGUUUAAUUUUUGUUUUUUUUGACAGAGAGAUAUGAGAGCUGGGCUCAGUACGAUUCAGCAAACUCUCACCCCUGAGGCGGCGAGUGUUUUAAACAACUCAAUAGCUGAAGCUAGCCGCCGGAACCAUGGUCAGACUACGCCCCUUCAUGUGGCGGCAACGCUUUUGGCUUCGCCGUCUGGGUUUCUCCGGCAAGCCUGUAUCAAAUCGCACCCCAACUCUUCGCAUCCUCUCCAGUGUAGAGCCUUGGAACUAUGUUUUAGCGUCUCUCUGGAGCGGCUUCCUACCGCCCAGAACCUUAGUCCAGGCCAUGACCCACCAAUCUCCAAUGCCUUAAUGGCGGCACUGAAGCGAGCUCAGGCUCACCAGCGACGCGGCUGCCCUGAGCAGCAGCAACAGCCUCUUCUAGCGGUGAAAGUAGAGCUUGAACAGCUAAUUAUAUCAAUUUUAGAUGAUCCAAGUGUUAGUAGAGUUAUGAGGGAAGCUAGUUUUUCCAGCCCAGCCGUUAAGGCCACAAUUGAGCAGUCUCUUAACUCUUCAUCCAAUUCCUCUGCCGCGGCAGCCGCCUCUAAUUCAAACUCAUUUGGAUUCGGGUUUCGCACGCCUGGAGCUGUGCCAGUUCCUGCUCCUGCAACGAAUCGGAAUUUGUAUGUUAAUCCCAGAUUGCAACAGGGGAGUAUAGCGCAAUCUGGGCAGCAGAGGAAUGAGGAAGUUAAGCGGGUUGUUGAUAUUUUGUUAAAGAAUAAGAGGAGGAAUCCUGUUUUGGUUGGCGAAUCUGAGCCUGAGAUGGUUGUAAGGGAGCUAUUGAAAAGAAUAGAGAAUAAAGAAAUAGCAGAUGGGUUGUUAAAGAAUGUGCAGGUGAUUCAUUUGGAAAAGGAUUUUCUAGAUAAAACGAAAAUAGCAGCAAAGAUUAUAGAAUUAGGGGGUUUGAUCGAGACCCGUAUAGCGAAUUUGGAUUGCGGAGGAGUAAUUCUUGAUUUGGGUGAUUUGAAAUGGCUGGUCGAGCAGCAGGUAUACUUUGCAGGUGCUAGUGGACUCCAGCAGCAGCAGCAGAUUGUGUCUGAGGCUGAGCGGGCGGCAGUGGCGGAGAUGGGGAAGCUGUUGGAACGGUUUGGAGAGAGGAGUAGCGGUGGUGGCAGUGGAAGGGUUUGGUUGAUUGGAACUGCUACCUGUGAGACCUAUUUGAGGUGUCAGGUCUAUCAUCCUAGUAUGGAAAAUGAUUGGGAUCUGCAGGCAGUGCCAAUCGCUCCUAGAGCACCUCUUCCAGGAUUGUUUCCCAGGCUUGGAACCAAUGGUAUUCUUAGCAACUCAGUUGAAUCCUUAUCACCUUUGAAGGGCUUUCCAACUAUUACACCUAUUCCACUGAGGCGUCUUGCUGAGAACUUAGAUCCCACUCGAAGAAUGAGUUGUUGCCCUCAAUGCAUGCAAAAUUAUGAGCAAGAGCUAGCAAAAGUUAUACCAAAAGAAUCUGAGAAAUCUUCUUCAGAAUUUAAAUCAGAAGCAACUCAGCCACUACUGCCACAGUGGUUGAAAAAUGCUAAGUCUCAAGAUUGUGACACUAAAACGUUGGAUCAGACUGUGACUAAAGAUCAAGAAUUAAUGUCAAAGCAGAAGAGCCUAGAGUUGCAGAAGAAAUGGCAUGAUACGUGCUUACGUCUUCAUCCUGGUUAUCACCAGCCCAAUGUCAGCUCUGAGAGAAUUACACAACCGGCUCUCUCCAUGACGAGCUUGUUCAAUACAAACCUCCUUCCUCGGCAACCUUUCCAGCCCAAGUUAGGUUUAAAUGGAAACCUUGGUGGAACUCCGCAAUUGAACCCAAAUCUGUUGCCCAGACAAUCACCUGGUCGGGCAAUUACUCCAGCAGGAAGCCCUGUGAGGACAGACCUGGUUCUUGGGCAGCCAAAGAGCAAUGAACAAACUCCUGAGAAAGGCCAUGAAGAUCGCGCUAAAGACUUUUUUGGUUCUGUUGCUUAUGAGCCACAGGUCAAGUUGCAAGAAUUGCAGGCCAACAAGCUUCUAAGUGCAUUAGAUGCGGACUCAUUUAAGAGACUCCUCAAAGGUCUUACUGAAAAGGUGUGGUGGCAGAGAGAAGCAGCAUCUGCAGUAGCUACAACCGUGACACAAUGCAAAUUGGGCAAUGGUAAACGGCGGGGUAAUGCAUCAAAGGGUGAUAUUUGGCUAUUGUUCACAGGUCCUGACAGGAUUGGCAAGAAGAAGAUGGCAUCUGCUCUAUCAGAGCUGUUCCGUGGGACCAAUCCAAUAAUGUUAUCUCUGGGUUCACGACGUGACAAUGGGGAAUCUGAUGUGAAUUUCCGUGGUAAAACAGCACUUGAUCGAAUAGUAGAAGCUGUUAAGAGGAAUCCAUUUUCAGUAAUCAUGCUUGAGGACAUUGACGAAGCAGAUAUGCUUGUUCGAGGGAGCAUAAAGUGGGCCAUGGAAAGAGGCCGGCUUUCUGAUUCCCAUGGCCGUGAAAUCAGUCUUGGUAAUGUAAUUUUCAUUCUCACUGCAAAUGGGUUACCAGACAAUCUCAAAUUCCUAUCAAAUACUGUUCCACUCGAUGAAAAGAAGCUCAUCAGUUUGGCAAGUGGAGGAUGGCAAUUAAGGCUAUCCCUCUGCGAGAAAACAACCAAGCGCCGAGCCAGUUGGUUGCAUGAUGAAGAGAGACCUGCAAAACCAAGAAAAGACUCAGGAUCAGCGCUAUCAUUUGACCUGAACGAAGCUGCUGAUGCUGAGGAUGAUAAAGCUGAUGGCUCUCGCAAUUCAAGUGAUCUUACAAUUGAUCACGAGGAUGAACAUGUCCCCAACAACAGAUUACUAACUCCAACAGCUUCAUCAGUGUCUCCAGAGCUACUCAAUUCAGUAGACGACGAUAUUGUUUUCAAACCUGUGGACUUUGGCCUCAUUCGUUGCGAGGUUUCUAAUUCUAUAACCAAGAGGUUCUUCACCAUCAUCAGUGAAGGAAUGUCAUUUGAAAUUCAAGACCAGGCGCUUGAAAAGAUUGCUGGUGGGUUAUGGUUAGGCCGAGAAAGUUUAGAAGAAUGGACUGAGAAAGUAUUGGUUCCAAGCAUGCGCCAGCUCAAGCUACAGUUACCAACAUCCACUGAGGAAUCAUCCAUGGUUGUUUGGCUCGAACCCGACAGCGAUUCAGCCAGCCGAAGCCACACAGAUUGGCUGCCGAGCAGCGUCAGAGUAGUGGUUGGUGGGUUGUGAGCGUGGUGGGAGGGCACUCAUUUCUGUUUAAUAUAUAGAGAUGUAAAUAUUCUCCAACUGUUUUUGGCGGGUUGGUUGAAAGCGGUUGACAAGGGUAAAGAAGGAAAAUGGAUUAAAAAAAGAAAAACAGUCAGAGUAGAGGGAGACGUUGAUUGAUUAACGGAAACUUUAGACGGCAAGGUCUCGCCUUUUCUUUUUACUAUUAUUAUUAUUUUAUUACUUUGUUACAUGCCCCUCCCCUUCUUUUUUGUCUUUAUAAAAUUUAAUAAUAUUUUUACAAAAUAUAUUUUUAUUAUUUAAAAAUUUAAAUUAACGCGUGGCAUUAUUCUUGUUGUGAGGGGCGGCUACGGUUCAACGAGGUUUUUGGCUUGAUGUUUAAAUUUGACCCUAAUUAAAAUUUAAUUUAAUGAAAAA
rnacentral:misc_RNA from 1 species